rnacentral:tRNA from 1 species
UAAGCUGAAGCCCGCUGGAUUGGGCGACUAGCUGUNAANUAGUUUUUUGCGGGGUCGAGUCCCGUCAGUUUAG